UACGAAGGGGGCUAGCGUUGCUCGGAAUUACUGGGCGUAAAGCGCGCGUAGGCGGGUCGGUAAGUCGGGUGUGAAAACUCUGGGCUCAACCCAGAGAUGCCACCCGAUACUGCUGUGACUCGAGUGCGGUAGGGGAGCGGGGAAUUCCUGGUGUAGCGGUGAAAUGCGCAGAUAUCAGGAGGAACACCAGUGGCGAAGGCGACUACCUGGCCUGUUCUUGACGCUGAGGCGCGAAAGCUAGGGGAGCAAACGGG
rnacentral:rRNA from 1 species